CCUACCAACUAAACGGCUACCACAGCGUGCAGGACCUCAGACAGGAUGGUCACCUGUGAGGCAACGCUUCUGCUGCUGCUGAUUCUAACGCUAAUGCUUAUGUCGUGGGGCUGGUUGGCCCACCAAGCUCGAGCUCGGAUGCAGAAAGACUUGCCCCCUGGGCCUGCACCGCUUCCCUUGCUGGGGAAUUUGUUGCAGCUACAGUCUGGACACUUGGACCGUGUGCUCAUGGAGGAGCUCCAUUUGACCCUCGGCGGCUACUGGACAACGCUGUAUCCAACGUCAUUUGUACUGUGGUCUUCGGAAAGCGCUACAACUAUGGAGACCCAGAGUUCCUGAGGCUCCUGGACCUCUUCAGUGACAAUUUCCGUAUCAUGAGUUCCCGAUGGGGU
rnacentral:lncRNA from 1 species